rnacentral:tRNA from 1 species
UCCCUGGAGGACUAGUGGUUAGGCCACAGCACUCUUACCACUGCGGCAUGGGUUCGAUUCCCGACCAGGGAA